rnacentral:lncRNA from 1 species
GAGUGGUUGUAGCGCGGGCGGAGGCCGGGCCUGGCUGCAGGACGAGGGCGGGGGGCGAGUGAGCGCCCAGGCGGCGCGGCCGGGCUGGCGUCUCAGCCGCGGCGGCAGGGACGGCUAGACGGCCGGGCGGGGUAGGGGGCUGUCCUGAGGCGGCGGGCGGAGGCGCCGCCGGCUCCCGAGCGGCGGCGACGGGCGCCCCUUUCGGCCCGGGGAGGGUCGUCGGGGCCGCUGGAGCAGGGCGGGCUGCGGAGCCGGGUCGGGCCCUGCUCUCCGGCCCGCCCUCGGCGGCAGGGCCUCUGGGCCGCGCGCCCGGCCCGAGGGCUGCGGUUCCGGCCGCCAUGUGUGGACCUUAAAGCGUCUGUGGAAGCGCUUUGACAUCUGUGAAGGGCUUUGUGUAGCAAACUAAAUUGAAGCGCUUAGCAGUCCCGGAAGCGCUUUGAGGUCUGCGAAGUAGCGCGGUGCAAACAGAAGCGCUUGGUGAUUACGGAAGCACUUUGUGGGUUUAGGAGCCAAACCGAAGCCUUUAGUCAAUCUCUAAUCGUUGGGACUUCUCCGAAGCGCUUUGGCAUCUCUGAAACCUUGAGAACUGUGAUGGGCAGUGGAACGAAGAGGGAAAGGUCAGUGAGGCCAGCCCGUGGCCUUGACCUUCUUUCUUUCUGGCUUUCCUUACCCAGGGGGUCGGGUGGCGGGAGGGCUGGUGUUGGAAUCCAGGCUCCCUUUUGCCUUGCAGGUGCCCAUGGCGUCGGAGCGGCGCAAGGUCAAGUACCACUGGAGCAGCACUUCGGAAGGCUGUCCCAGCAAGCGCAGCUGCCUCCGGGAGCCCAGUGAUGUGGCCCCCUCCAGCCGGUCAGCUCACAGCUCUGCGUCGCGUUCACGAGGGGGCAGCAGCUCCAAGCGCCUGAAAGCACACAAGGAGGACGAUGUGGCCUGCUCGCCGAGGUUAUCCAGGAGCUCAACUCGACGCAGAAAUUCCUCCUCCUCCUCCUCUUCCCAUUCCUCGGGCCCAGGUGUGGGCGGGGCCGCCUCCAAAGGCUGCCUGAUUCGGAGCGCUCGCGCGUUCCUUUCGUCGAAGGGAACCUCUAUGCGUCCUGCCAACCCCUCUCUAGAAGAAAUGGCUUCUCUAGAGGAGGAAGCCUGCAGCCUUAAGGUAGGUAGUUGCCACGCCGUGCAGUCGGCGAAG